rnacentral:rRNA from 1 species
UUUGUUUAUAUCUAUAUAAAGAGUCCAACCUGCCCAGUGAUAUAUUGUUUAACGGCCGCGGUACUUUGACCGUGCAAAGGUAGCAUAAUCAUUUGCCUUAUAAUUGAAGGCUUGUAUGAAUGGUUUAACAAGAAUUAAUUUGUCUCUUGUUAAUUAAAAUGAAAUUGACUUUUAGGUGUAAAGGCCUAGAUGUUACUAAUAGACAAGAAGACCCUAUUGAGCUUGAAAAAUUUAUGGUGAUAUUAGGUAUAUUGUAAACAAAAUUAUAAAUUAUUAAGGUUUUUAGUUGGGGCGACUAUUGGAACAAACAGAGCUUCCAGAAAUUUCAUAAUAUCUGAUGUUAAUUUAUUUAAAUUGGAUCCAAAAUAUUUUGAUUAAUAGAAUAAGUUACCAUAGGGAUAACAGCAUAAUCUAUCUUAAGAGCUCUAAUCGAAAGAAAGGUUUGUGACCUCGAUGUUGGAUUAAAAUAUCCUAAGGGUGUAGAAG